rnacentral:rRNA from 1 species
AUGCUAUGGAAGACAAUGGCACCACACUCGUUUUUUUUCUUCAAAAAGGAGGAUAUCCCCCGGCCUCUGCAAUGGCACCACACUCAUAGCCUGAACAAAGUGUGCAAAUCACAACAGCAAGGUCAUCUUGGCAUCCUGGAUAUUUUUGUUCACGACAACUUUGUUAAUGAAAAUUUGUUCAAGUUUCUGAACAAAGAUACUGCGUAUCACACAAGCACUCCUUUGGAGAAACUGGAAGGCGGUGGUGGGCACAUCUGGCCUUAUUACCUGAAUUUAAAGAAGCCAGCUCUUGCACUGUGA